rnacentral:rRNA from 1 species
GAUGAACGCUGGCGGCGUGCCUAAUACAUGCAAGUAGAACGCUGAAGGAAGGAGCUUGCUCUUUCCGGAUGAGUUGCGAACGGGUGAGUAACGCGUAGGUAACCUGCCUGGUAGCGGGGGAUAACUAUUGGAAACGAUAGCUAAUACCGCAUAACAGUAGAUGUUGCAUGAUAUCUACUUAAAAGGUGCAAUUGCACCACUACCAGAUGGACCUGCGUUGUAUUAGCUAGUUGGUGAGGUAACGGCUCACCAAGGCGACGAUACAUAGCCGACCUGAGAGGGUGGUCGGCCACCCUGGGACUGAGACACGGCCCAGACUCCUACGGGAGGCAGCAGUAGGGAAUCUUCGGCGAUGGACGGAAGUCUGACCGAGCAACGCCGCGUGAGUGAAGAAGGUUUUCGGAUCGUAAAGCUCUGUUGUAAGAGAAGAACGAGUGUGAGAGUGGAAAGUUCACACUGUGACGGUAUCUUACCAGAAAGGGACGGCUAACUACGUG